rnacentral:tRNA from 1 species
UAAGAGGUAGUAUAAUGGAGUACUGAAGAUUUUGAGUCUUUUGGUGUGGGUUCGAGUCCCAUUCUUUUAG